UUCUCCAAAAGUUAUAUUUGUCUGUCCUAGUUCUACCCUCUGUGGUUAAACUAGCAAGCUAUAAUCAUUUUUCCAUAUGGAAGUACUUUUUCUAUUUGAAGAGUUUUCAAAUCUCUUUGGAUAAUCUUAUCCCAGAUCCUUCAACUAUUUCUCUUGAUUUUGAGAACUUCACCAUCUUGAUCACUUUCUGUGGAAAAGCUCUGCUUACUGAACAACUCUGAAUGAGGGAAAUGAUAUUUUUUAAGAGCCAGGCGGCAUAUAAAUAUUCUCAGGCCACCAUCUUGAACCAAGAGGUGUCAGAACCAAGAAAAGUGUUAAAUGCUCAAUCGCCAGCAACACUACUCUUGUACUUUGGGACUUUUAUUAGAUAAAAUAACUGUUCCUUGAACACAAGCACUGCCAUACUAGAAAGUCGAUGUGAUCGCAGAAAGGGCGGCUAAGUGACUCACAGGUGGAAAGCUGUUACAGCGUGGAUCUGCUGGACAAAGGGAAGAUUCAUGUCCUGAGAGGGACGGAACCUGACAGCCCAAGAUUUCGUCACACUACGCAGAACUGCAGGCAAGUUAAAACUUACGCAUUGUUUGUUUCUGGAAUUUUCCGUUUAGUAUUUUCGGCACAGGGUUGACGGCAGGUAACAAACCAUGGAAACUGAAACUGUGGAUAAAG